GCAGUGAUGUGUGUUUUCCCUCGUCACAACAAGUCAUCAAUAAACCCAACUUUGCAGUAGCUUACACAGCCAGACACCAUGCAAUAGUCUUCCCUUUAAAAUGACUACAAUGGUGUGCUAAGUUUUUUUCAUAGCAUGUCAUUAUUAAAGGUGAACACAAAU